GUCUAUGAGCAUAUCACGUUGAAAGUACGACAUCUCGUUCGAUCUGUCAAGUUAAGCAACUUUGAGCCUGAUUUGUGCU
rnacentral:rRNA from 1 species